rnacentral:lncRNA from 1 species
AUGUACCUUGAAUAGAAGGCGCCAAGAUGGUCGAAACAGGCUGAGGUAUGGUACCAGUGACAAAUCCAAACAAGCGUUGUCCACUUAGAAAGGACUGAAACUGUCUUUUUCCAGAACAAGAAAUUUUGUUCAUUUAGCUUUGCUGUGACGCAGUGGAUGAUGUUUAAGGAGGGAGGAGUGUAUGGAUCUAGUUCCAUGGCUAGAACACCUAGUGCUCUGAUACCAUGAAAGUAUGAACAAACUAGGAAAAAGGUGAAAACGUUUCUUUUUUAUUGAUUUUCCCCUAGAGUUCCUGUUACAUAGAACAUUCAUAUUUAUAUGCUAAACACUAGGGUUUUCAUCUCAUGUGUCUUCAGGAUCUAAUGGCUGGAAUCGAUUGUGCACCAGGACCAGCUGAGCUGUUGACAUCUUCUUCUCCCCGUCCACUUCAUGUGCUUUCUCCAGCUGUGUUGCAGAAGACCGUUGAAGUGUUUCUUCAGUUUUGGCCGUCUGCUCACUUGUGGGCUUUGAUUCAGAUGUGGGCUUGAGCUGAGAAGACCCAAAUAAUGGGUUUGCUCUAAUA